UCGAACGGCAGCGCGGGAGCAAUCCUGGCGGCGAGUGGCGAACGGGUGAGUAAUAUAUCGGAACGUGCCCAGUAGUGGGGGAUAGCCCGGCGAAAGCCGGAUUAAUACCGCAUACGACCUGAGGGUGAAAGCGGGGGAUCGCAAGACCUCGCGCUACUGGAGCGGCCGAUAUCAGAUUAGCUAGUUGGUGGGGUAAAGGCCUACCAAGGCAACGAUCUGUAGUUGGUCUGAGAGGACGACCAGCCACACUGGGACUGAGACACGGCCCAGACUCCUACGGGAGGCAGCAGUGGGGAAUUUUGGACAAUGGGCGCAAGCCUGAUCCAGCAAUGCCGCGUGCAGGAAGAAGGCCUUCGGGUUGUAAACUGCUUUUGUCAGGGAAGAAAUCUUCUGGGCUAAUACCCCGGGAGGAUGACGGUACCUGAAGAAUAAGCACCGGCUAACUACGUGCCAGCAGCCGCGGUAAUACGUAGGGUGCGAGCGUUAAUCGGAAUUACUGGGCGUAAAGCGUGCGCAGGCGGCUUUGCAAGACAGAGGUGAAAUCCCCGGGCUCAACCUGGGAACUGCCUUUGUGACUGCAAGGCUAGAGUACGGCAGAGGGGGACGGAAUUCCGCGUGUAGCAGUGAAAUGCGUAGAUAUGCGGAGGAACACCGAUGGCGAAGGCAAUCCCCUGGGCCUGUACUGACGCUCAUGCACGAAAGCGUGGGGAGCAAACAGGAU
rnacentral:rRNA from 1 species